rnacentral:rRNA from 1 species
GAUGAACGCUGGCGGCGUGCUUAACACAUGCAAGUCGAACGGAAAGGCUCCUGCUUGCAGGGGUACUCGAGUGGCGAACGGGUGAGUAACACGUGGGUGAUCUGCCCUGCACUUCGGGAUAAGCCUGGGAAACUGGGUCUAAUACCGGAUAGGACGAUGGUUUGGAUGCCAUUGUGGAAAGUUUUUCGGUGUGGGAUGAGCUCGCGGCCUAUCAGCUUGUUGGUGGGGUAAUGGCCUACCAAGGCGUCGACGGGUAGCCGGCCUGAGAGGGUGUACGGGCCAAUGGGGAUAGGGGAAGGACCAAGGGGCAAAGGGGAAGAAGGGGUGGGAAAUAGUUAAAAAGGGGCGGAGGCCAGGGGGAGGGCCGCCGGGGGGGGAAGGACGGCCUGCGGGGUGAAAGCCCGUUAAGCUAGGAACGAAGCGCAAUGAACGGACCCUGGGAAAAAAGCACGGCUAAAUUAGGG